GACUAACGCUGGCGGCGUGCUAAUACAUGCAAGUCGAACGGGAUUCUUUGAUCAGCUUGCUGAGAGAAGGAUCUAGUGGCGGACGGGUGAGUAACGCGUGGGAAUCUGCCUCUUACUGGGGGAUAACAGUGGGAAACUACUGCUAAUACCGCAUAAGAUCUUCGGAUGAAAGGUGCAACUGCACCGGUAAGAGAUGAGCCCGCGUCCCAUUAGCUAGUUGGUGAGGUAACGGCUCACCAAGGCGACGAUCAGUAGCCGGUCUGAGAGGAUGAACGGCCACACUGGGACUGAGACACGGCCCAGACUCCUACGGGAGGCAGCAGUGGGGAAUCUUCCGCAAUGGACGAAAGUCUGACGGAGCAACGCCGCGUGAGCGAAGAAGGUCUUCGGGUCGUAAAGCUCUGUCAGAGGGAAAGAAAGGGCCGGAGGAAUAAUACCCUUCGGCAUUGACGGUACCCUCAGAGGAAGCACCGGCUAACUCCGUGCCAGCAGCCGAC
rnacentral:rRNA from 1 species